UGGGGAAUAUUGGACAAUGGGCGAAAGUCUGAUCCAGCGACGCCGCGUGUCGGAAGGAGUCCUUCGGGAUGUAAACGACUUUUGGUGGAGACGAAUAAGCAGCUCAGGGAAUGGGGCUGUGAUGACGGUAUCCAUGGAAUAAGCCCCGGCUAACUACGUGCCAGCAGCCGCGGUAAGACGUAGGGGGCAAGCGUUACCCGGAAUUACUGGGCGUAAAGGGAGCGUAGGCGGGAGGUCAAGUCCGGUGUGAAAGACCCUGGCUCAACCAGGGAUGAGGGCUGGAAACUGACAAUCUUGAGUACAGCAGAGGAAGAGGGAAUUACCGGUGUAGGGGUGAAAUCCGUAGAGACCGGUAAGAAGGCCAGUGGCGAAGGCGCUUUUCUGGGCUGUUACUGACGCUGAGGCUCGAAAGCCAGGGGAGCAAACCG
rnacentral:rRNA from 1 species